rnacentral:lncRNA from 1 species
CUUCACCUGCCUGAGCUGUUCCUGGCCCCCACAGACAGCAGCUCUAAGCAGGAGGCAAGGAGGAGCACCUGCCUCUCCUUCCCCCCCUGCAUUCCAGGGGUGUUUCCUGCAGAUGGCCCAGCACAUCUACCCCAUCCAAGACCAGGGAGCAAAGCAGCGAGAGGAAGAUGUGGCUUGCCUUUCUGCUCUUGAAGAAUUCAGAGGGAAGCAUAAGACUCUUGCCCUCUGCUCAAUUCCAGCUAUGCAUCCAGUGUCUGAACAGAUGGGACAUUUUCUCCAUUUUGGUUUUGUCAGAAGCUUCCUGAAAAAAACUGCCAUGGGAAAUCUACAAGGCCUUUAUGUUCAACAAAUACAUCCCAUAUGGAAUUUUGAUGGAAAAAAAUGCUCA